UACGUAGGGUGCGAGCGUUGUCCGGAAUUAUUGGGCGUAAAGGGCUCGUAGGCGGUUUGUCGCGUCGGGAGUGAAAACCAGGUGCUUAACACCUGGCUUGCUUUCGAUACGGGCGGACUAGAGUUCGGUAGGGGAGACUGGAAUUCCUGGUGUAGCGGUGAAAUGCGCAGAUAUCAGGAGGAACACCGGUGGCGAAGGCGGGUCUCUGGGCCGAUACUGACGCUGAGGAGCGAAAGCGUGGGGAGCGAACAGG
rnacentral:rRNA from 1 species